GAGUGUCUGGAGACCAAGUGUCUAGACUUGGUUUGUGGGAGCUGCAAGCCUCCUUUGCUGCCCAUUGUAUCAGAGGUCUGAGCUCACUGAGCUGGUUAGAGAGCCGAGGGGUCACUGCAUCCCCCCAGGCCAGGUUUUGUGCACACUGGGGGGUGGGCUCAGUAGAAGGUCUGGACAUGCCUUGUCCGUUUCCAAGUUUUCUUCUCCACUGAGAUGCAGCCCCUCUGCUUGUGCAUGCAUCCCUGCCUUUCACCACACCUCCUAAUGAUACACAGACCCUGGAGCGGGCUUAUGUGGGAUCUCUUGUUCUUCUAGAAGUUGAUGUCAAACCUCAGGCCCAUGUUUUGGACAGAAGCUUAAAUUUCACAGACCCCUGGGGACACACACAGAGAACCUUCUUUCCAGAACAAAGGGUGGUCUUCUGAGAGCUAUUCUCAGUUGUGCAUACCACCUGGGCAAUGGAUAAGCAAGCAUUCAUUAUUGCAAAGGUGAGAUUAGAUAUAACCAGUCCAGUCAUGAGAGUGGGAGGUCCCCAGCUCUUACCUAAGGAGUUUCCAGAGCCAAUGCCACAAAGAUGGCCUUUCUCACAAACCAGGUCCUAGCAACUACCCUGACAAUGCAACCUGUGCUGCCUACAGAAUUCAGGGAUGCCGUGAGCUCUCAGUCUCACUCAUCCUCAUCCAGGCUACACUUUGGGGUGCAGCAUUCACUGGUGCCAGUGUUCCAGUGACCACCCACCCUGUCCCUAAUUUUGGCCUAGAAAGCCAUCAUGACUUGCCAGGCCUUAUUUUCCUCCUCUUUAGAAACACUGGCUAACGGGCUGGAUGAGAGGGCUGGGCACUGUGGUUGUUUGGUCAAGCUAGUUCUUCUCACACUGAAGACAGAUAGUUCCCAAGUGCUGUCCAUCAACAACAGCAGAGCUAGGGGUGGUGGUCAGAAACAGAAAUGAAGGUGAGGCGGGGAGGAGAGAUGGCUGGACACCAGGUUUGUGUCUAGACCUGGUUUGUGGGAGCUGCAAGCCUCCUCUGUGUCCCAUUGUACCAGAGGUCUGAGGUCACUGAGGUGAUUAGACGGCUGAGGAGAAAGGUCAUCUAAGCUGGGAGGCAUGGCUUUGAACCCACAGCCACUCACAGAGCUGCUAGGCCAGUCUGUAGUUCUCAGUUUGCUCCUAGGGUGUAGAAGUAGAUGGAGAAGCUUCUGAGAGUCUAUCUCAGGGCAGCCUCGCCCUGAUUCCUAGACUCUGCACAGAGGAACCAGCUUAGUGGUGGUGGCUGGCUGGCUGUUUCUAGUUCAAACUCAACUCCUAUUAUUAUUUUUAAUAAUAAGAUAUUUUUGCAUGUUGUACAUCUUAAUUAGUAGUAAAUAUUCACAGAUUGUAUUUAAUAGCAACAUAUCCCCACAUGUGAGUUGAAUAUGGUAAUUUGUAAUUUGUUGAGUCAAAAAUGUUGUGACUAAGAGAAAGUUGGUUUGGGUUCCGAUGCAGGUGGAGGGAGGGCUGCUGUUCCCAGCCACUACCACAGUGCAGAGGCACCAGGGACCUCUAUAGGGAGUGUCACAGAGGGAGAUGCUCUGUAGUCUUGAAGCUGCCCAAUAGUGAUGGCUGAGAAAGUCCUCCUGGCAAUGUACAAGACUCUAAAAUCAGGGCAGCACACAUAAGCCAGUUCCUUUACAAUCCACUUCCUGUUCACUUGGAACACUCAGCAUCCCAAUUGUGGAUACUUUCUCCCCACUGUGCCAUAUGGGGACUCUGCAGCCCAUUCAGGGUCUCCUAGUCUCCCUUAGUUUACUUCUUUUAUGUCCUAGACAUGGUGACAUUUCCUUGUCCAUACUGACUACUUAGCAGAACAGAUACAGGGAGGUCUAUACAGGGCAAAACACAAACCAAGAGUAAGCUAUUAUACAUGCUAGUGUGCAGCUGACCCAGCACUUAUGAUAGCAAUAAGAUUUGCCCCUGACACCCCUGUGGCUAUACCCACCCCCGCUCCAGGCCCUGCUAAGCCCUCAAUUUUGAUAAUGUGCUUUCUGUCCCUUCUGCCAAAAUCAUGUUGCUGGGAUCUGAGAAGGGACAGGUUAUAAGUCUUGAGAGUUACAAGUGCUACCCAUUUACCUGGCUUUCAACGUCUCUGGGAGCAGGGCCAGUAUGUGGAUUUCAAGCAGGGGGGUGGGGCGGGGGAGAAUUUCUGGAAGACCAAGUGCAUCUUUCCAAAAUUUAGGAUUUGGGGCCUGAUUCCUCAUUCUGCACCACAGACCCACAGUCUCCAAUUGUAUUACCGACCUUCUGAAAGACCUGCUAGUUUUCCCACAAUGGGAUUCAUACAUUAAAAUUAAUCAAUAGAACAGAUUAAGGCUGAAACUAAGCUGAGCAUAAAUUAUUUUCUUGGCUGAGUGGGGCUUAGGGUGGAGCAGGAGUGCUGUCUGUGAGGUCAUGAUGUCUGCUCAGCUUCAGCAUCAGCCUCGGAUAAGUCAUGGCCAGGUCAUGUUAGCUUUCUAGCCU
rnacentral:lncRNA from 1 species